rnacentral:rRNA from 1 species
GACGAACGCUGGCGGCGUGCUUAACACAUGCAAGUCGAACGGAAAGGCCCUGCUUUUGUGGGGUGCUCGAGUGGCGAACGGGUGAGUAACACGUGAGUAACCUGCCCUUGACUUUGGGAUAACUUCAGGAAACUGGGGCUAAUACCGGAUAGGAGCUCCUGCUGCAUGGGGGGAGUUGGAAAGUUUCGGCGGUUGGGGAUGGACUCGCGGCUUAUCAGCUUGUUGGGGGGGUAGUGGCUUACCAAGGCUUUGACGGGUAGCCGGCCUGAGAGGGUGACCGGCCACAUUGGGACUGAGAUACGGCCCAGACUGCUUCGUGAGGCAGCAGUCGGGGAUAUUGCCCAAUGGGCGGAAGCCUGAUGCGUCAACGCCGCGUGCGGAAUGACGGCCUUCGGGUUGUAAACCGCUUUCGCCUGUGACGAAGCGUGAGUGACGGUAAUGGGUAAAGAAGCACCGGCUAACUACGUG